CCACGGAGCGGACGUAUUGACGUUAGUUCUCGCCCUGUCACAACAUAACCACAACAGACUGAGGGCGUGCGUUCGCUUUUGGCGGGUAUUCGCACGAAGGCGAGCGAAGCGCCGCCGAGCACGAACCCCCGUGCGCGUACACUCGGACCAUUUGGAUUGCAGUGUUUGGAUGUUCGGAUUGUGGUGUUCGCUGCGGUUUUUUUAAGAAUCCGACGGAUUUCUCGUCUACGGAUUUAAAAGUUAAUUAUUGAAGAAAAUGUUUGUACGUGGUGUGGAUUAAUUUAUUAAUUGAAUUGUAUAUUUGUGUUCGUGUAAAGUUGUUUGUUUUGUGAUAUUUUAACGAUUGAAUUGAGUGGUGAUAAGUGUUGGGACCUAGCUGGUAUGCUUAAGUGCUAUGUGACGCAAGGCUUGGUGACCGCCUUGGAAGGAGGCGUUGGGUACGACAAGUGGGAGCGGGGCGGGGCGGGCGGCGGCG